GAUAUUGUGCUAUGUUACAUGUAUAUAGAAUGAUUGAUGGAAUGAAGUUGGAAGAAAGUUAGAAAUUUGGAAAAGGAUCUCAAGAGGACUUCGAGGGAACUCCCGGCGAAGCGUCUUAGAGCUAAUUUCUCAAACUUUGACUUUUGAUACUUGGUUUGGAAGUGGAAGUUCUGAGACUUAAUUAGUGACCCCCAAAAAUAAUUUUUUCCCACAAGGCUCGAGGCCAAAGAAAGCGCUUGUAUUGAGUGAUUAGUGCCUGAAGGGAUAUCUCAUAUAUAAUUUGAAUUCGAUUCACUUGAUAAGUAUUUGAUGUAAUUAUUUGAGAACUGAGAACUUUUGUCUUAUUCGGGGAAUGAUA